rnacentral:rRNA from 1 species
CCUACGGGUGGCAGCAGUGAGGAAUAUUGGUCAAUGGGCGAGAGCCUGAACCAGCCAAGUCGCGUGAAGGAUGACGGCCCUACGGGUUGUAAACUUCUUUUGUCAGGGCACAAUUGGGUCCACGCGUGGGCUUAGCGAGAGUCCCUGAAGUAAAAGCAUCGGCUAACUCCGUGCAAGCAGCCGCGGUAAUACGGAGGUGGCAAGCUUUAUCCGGAUUUAUUGGGUUUCAGGGGUGCGUAGGCGGCAUAUCAAGUCAGCGGUAAAAAUUCGGGGCGCAACCGCGUCGUGCCGUUGAAACUGAUGAUCUUGAGUGGGCGAGAAGGAUGCGGAAUGCGUGGUGUAGCGGUGAAAUGCAUAGAUAUCACGCAGAACUCCGAUUGCGAAGGCAGCAUACCGGCGCCCAACUGACGCUGAAGCACGAAAGCGUGGGUAUCGAACAGGAUUAGAUACCCCAGUAGUC